GUCGCACCUACCGAUUGAGUGGUCCGGUGAAUUCUCGGGAUUGUGGUUGAUUUCUUUUAUUAGGAUUCGACUGCGAGAACUUGUGUAAACCUUAUCACUUAGAGGAAGGUG
rnacentral:rRNA from 1 species